UUCCCAGUGCAUUAUUGUUUCAUUCUUAGCAAGUUUUCAGUCUUUAAUUUUCUUCCCAAACGAAUAAGCUAUAAGCAUUUUUCAUGGUCUUUCUACUAUGCCAAAAUCGGUUUUCUUGGAUGGUCUUGGAAGAUCUGUAAUAAGUUGGGUGAGAAUUGAAGCUAAUACUAUACAGCCUGUACAUGCA